UGCAAGUCGAACGGUAACAGGCUAGCUUGCUAGUGCUGACGAGUGGCGGACGGGUGAGUAACGCGUAGGAAUCUACCCAGUUGUGGGGGAUAGCCCGGAGAAAUCCGGAUUAAUACCGCAUACGCCCUACGGGGGAAAACAGGGGAUCUUCGGACCUUGUGCAAUUGGAUGAGCCUGCGUUAGAUUAGCUAGUUGGUGGGGUAAAGGCCUACCAAGGCGACGAUCUAUAGCUGGUCUGAGAGGAUGAUCAGCCACAUCGGGACUGAGACACGGCCCGG
rnacentral:rRNA from 1 species